UUCUUUAAUGGCUAAAGUUUACUCAGUC
rnacentral:piRNA from 1 species